UCUGUUUAGCUUUGGUGGAGAUGCAUGUAUAAUUAUGAAUAUGAUCAUAAUUGAAGUUCAUUAUGGUUCAGUAUUAUACUCUUGUGCACCUUGUUUAGUGUUAAAAACCAUGGUUUAUGAUUGGAGUUUGUGGUGGUUGUUUAAAUUUUUGUGGUUUGUUGUUAUGUGAUGCUUGAUAGGUUUAUACAUGGAUUCCUUGUAUUGCAGUAAAAGAUGCCUUAACAUAUUCUUAUGUUAUGAGCGACAUCACUAGAUCACCGAGUCCAGAAGAUUAGCAAAUUUAAUUAAGUGUGAAUUUGAGAUUGGCGAUGGGAGUAGCUAUGUUGGCUGCUCAAAUAGCCUCCUUUAAAUUUUUAUCCAGUGUUAUCAUUGGUGGAUGGGGUGGCACAAAAUUUGCAAUGGUGUUGUCAAUUGAGGAUCGUAGAUAAUAGCAAUUUGUUAACAGCUAUUUGACAACAAUUUGUACUUAAUAGCAUAUCGCGGAGCAAUAGCGAUUUGUUCAAAUUCCGCUUUGCUAUAGCGCUAUUUGACAACACUGUUUGAUGCAGCAUGAAAGGUGUGACUUUGAUGUUGGGUUCAUUCAUGCUUUUUUUUACACAAUAUUAAUCUAUGUUUUUUUUUUGAAAAUAAAUAAAACCAAUGUUGUUGGUGCAUUAUUAUUUUCCACCCUUGAAUAUUCCAGCGUUAUAUUAAUGAUGUUUGUAUCUUGCAAUGGAGCAUGGUUACUCCAAAAAUUGAAGGCCUAUACCAUUCUGAUACGCACCCAUACCCGGUGCAUGCUGAGUACACGUCAGUUUUCAUUAAGUCAAAAACACUAUCACUUAGUUAAAAUAAUUUUUUCAGUUUCCAUUUCACCAUUCUUGCAUCUGAGCAGCUCUUUUUCAUUCUCA